AGGUACGAAUAAGUAGAUUGAUGAAAUA
rnacentral:sRNA from 1 species